CCAACCUGAGGAUGCGUCAGCAUUUCACAUUCUCUACAGUCUGAAAAUCUGGACAACCUCUGCCUAGAUAUGACAAAAGUUAUAUCAGGAGAUAUAGCCAAAGAAAGACUCCAGUUCGAGCAACCAAGAACAAAAUACAUCAGACAAUAGCUGUCCUAAUAGACGUGAGGCGUGUCUCACUGGAGAAACUGUAACACUUCCCACAGGAACAAACCUGGAUAUUUUUAUACCCUUGAGCUGACCUUUUGCUCUUACAAAAGCUGUGCCAGCCUACACUCAGUUCAAGAUUAGCUGGAUAACCGGCCAACCUGCAUCUUCCAUUUCCCAGCCACUGAGCAGUUGGCAAGACAAAGGGAGACCCAGGAUCAAGCUGGAAGCCCAUCCUACGGAUGCUGUCAAGGUACUGGUUACCCACCAUGUACCAAAGAGGGUACUCGACGCCAGGGACAUGUGUUAAUGAAUCACUGUCCGUCCUGUCCAGCAGGGGGAGCCCGAGGACUAGAGGCGGUAACAGCCAAACCUACGCCUAAGACAACAUGGCAGGUGCUGCUGUGUUAUGGAGAACUACAAUAAAAGAAAGGAUUUGUUGUUGC